UAGAGAAAUUGUUUGGUUGCACUGUACAGAAACUUGCAAAUUAGUCUCAAAGAUCAAUGGAAAGAAUCGUGAUAAAAUCGAGAUCGCGAUUUUAUUUUUUAAAAAUUGUGAUAUGAUAGUUUUGCCAUAUUGCCCACCCCUAGUUUAUGAUUAUGAAAUUUGAAGUAAC